rnacentral:rRNA from 1 species
UGAGGAAUAUUGGUCAAUGGACGGAAGUCUGAACCAGCCAUGCCGCGUGAAGGAUGAAGGCGUUCUGCGUUGUAAACUUCUUUUAUCUGGGAAGAAACCACAGAUUUCUAUUUGUGUUGACGGUACCAGAUGAAUAAGCACCGGCUAACUCCGUGCCAGCAGCCGCGGUAAUACGGAGGGUGCGAGCGUUAUCCGGAUUUACUGGGUUUAAAGGGUGCGUAGGCGGGCUAUUAAGUCAGAGGUGAAAUCUCCGGGCUCAACCUGGAAACUGCCUUUGAUACUAUUAGCCUUGAAUUAUGUUGAGGUUGGCGGAAUAUAACAUGUAGCGGUGAAAUGCUUAGAUAUGUCAUAGAACACCGAUUGCGAAGGCAGCUAACGAAGCUAUAACGGACGCUGAGGCACGAAAGUGCGGGGAUCAAACA